GACGAACGCUGGCGGCGUGCCUAAUACAUGCAAGUCGAACGCACGAAGUUGAAGAGCUUGCUCUUUAACCAAGUGAGUGGCGGACGGGUGAGUAACACGUGGGUAACCUGCCCAUUAGAGGGGGAUAACAUUCGGAAACGGAUGCUAAUACCGCAUAGUUUCAGGAAUCGCAUGAUUCUUGAAGGAAAGGUGGCUUCGGCUACCACUAAUGGAUGGACCCGCGGCGUAUUAGCUAGUUGGUGAGGUAAUGGCUCACCAAGGCAAUGAUACGUAGCCGACCUGAGAGGGUGAUCGGCCACACUGGGACUGAGACACGGCCCAGACUCCUACGGGAGGCAGCAGUAGGGAAUCUUCCGCAAUGGACGAAAGUCUGACGGAGCAACGCCGCGUGAGUGAAGAAGGUUUUCGGAUCGUAAAACUCUGUUGUUAAAGAAGAACAAGGAUGAGAGUAACUGCUCAUCCCCUGACGGUAUUUAACCAGAAAGCCACGGCUAACUACGUGCCAGCAGCCGCGGUAAUACGUAGGUGGCAAGCGUUGUCCGGAUUUAUUGGGCGUAAAGCGAGCGCAGGCGGUUCUUUAAGUCUGAUGUGAAAGCCCCCGGCUCAACCGGGGAGGGUCAUUGGAAACUGGAGAACUUGAGUGCAGAAGAGGAGAGUGGAAUUCCACGUGUAGCGGUGAAGUGCGUAGAUAUGUGGAGGAACACCAGUGGCGAAGGCGACUCUCUGGUCUGUAACUGACGCUGAGGCUCGAAAGCGUGGGGAGCAAACAGG
rnacentral:rRNA from 1 species